ACACUUGCCUCGCCGACCGCCAUUUCACAUCCAGCAGAGGAGGCGGGGGCAGCCGCUGAGACGGUUUUUCACAAGGCUUUCUCCAUAUUUACGUGCUUGUAACUCUGGCAUGACCUUUGCUCCAGUCUCUACCAGAGGGCGGUGCCUGGAUUGAAGUGGAAAAGCCCUGUUUUCCAGCCAUGACCCAGGGAGCAAGCACUGACUCCUCAGGGGAACAGGAGACCUGCCAACUAGGACCCUGGGAGCCCCCAUGCUGGCAGUGCCCUGGGUCAUCU
rnacentral:lncRNA from 1 species